rnacentral:rRNA from 1 species
AGUGAACGCUGGCGGUAGGCCUAAUACAUGCAAGUCGAACGGACGCACAGUAAGCGUUCGCCUCUACGGUUGGCGACUGGCGGGCGGGUGAGGCAUACAUCAGCAUCUUCUUUUUCGUGGGGGACUUCGUAGGGCAACUUACGCUAAUACAGCAUAUGAUCUACGGCUGAAAGCAGGGGAUAUUCGCACCUUUCCCGUUUCAUUGAGAUGAUGUCGGAUUAGCUAGUCGGCGUGGUAAAGGCCCACCAAGGCGACGAUACGUAGCUGAUCUGAGAGGAUGAUCAGCCACACUGGAACUGAGACACGGUCCAGACUCCUACGGGAGGCAGCAGUGGGGAAUAUUGGACAAUGGGCGCAAGCCUGAUCCAGCCAUGCCGCGUGAGUGAAGAAGGCCUUCGGAUUGUAAAACCCUUUUGUUGGGAAAGAAAAGCUGCAGAAGAAAACCCCGCUGUUCUGACGGUACCCAAUGAGAAAGCACCGGCUAACUUCGUG